rnacentral:lncRNA from 1 species
GAAGUUCCCAGGCUGGGGUCAAAUCAGAGCUGCAGCUUCUGGUCUGCACCACAGACACAGCAAUGCCAGAUCCUUAACAAACUGAGCGAGGCCAGGGAUUGAACUCACAUCCUCAUAGAUACUAGUUGGGUUGGUUACCACUGAGUCAUACCAGGAACUUCCUUCAAUUGAACUUUUGUUGUUUUUAAAACAUUACAGCAACUACUGCAGCUUGUUACUAGAGUCUGAUGGUUGGCAUGUACAAACUUCUCUGGGUAUGUGACCAUUUGUGUGAUUAGGCAUUAAGAAUUCUCAUUGGUUGAAUUUUCUGUAGUUUCAGCCAGAAGCUCACUGAGAUGUAGCUUUGAAUAACCACUCUUACAGUAGAGUCAUGCUUCAUGUGUUUUAUAUAUAUUUUUUGUUGUUCUAUGAAUAUCUUACCAUCUUUAGCUCAAUUCUAUAAAUGCAAUGACUCAAAAUAUGUUUCCUUUUUUCUGGUACUCUGUGCAGUAUUCUUUGUUUUUCACUUUUUAGAGUUAUUGAAGUAUGGUUGAUUUACAAUGUUGUGAUAAUUUCUGCUAUGCAAACAUGUUUCCUUUUAAAAGUAGUUGCAAAUAUAUGCUAACUUAUGUUGUAUAGUUUGUUCAGAUUACACUUAAGUAAAUGAACUGGGAUCUUUUUCACAUUUAAAUUAUUAUGAUUUAGUCUGAGCCUUGCAGUUUAUCAAGUUUCUUGCACCUGUGAGGCCUGGGGUGGAUAACCCUAUGCUGUUUAUGACUCCAGACAAGGUCAAAGAAAGUGAUGGUUUUUAGUUGAAUGCAACACUCUGUAUUUAAUUUAUCCCAAAUUAUUUCUAACCUUUAUUCUGUCCUUGACGAAAGCAAGUUUACCAUAUGCACUCUGUGGAACAAUAAAAGUGAUUGAUAAGAUUUCAAUGUGUGCUUUAGUUAAGCUCAUCAAAUAAGAGACAAAACUUUAGUGAAUGCUGAAUGAGCAGUUAUCUCAGUGGCUGAGGAUAUGCCCAGGAAACUCAGGACAGAUUCCCUUUGCUAAUGUAACUCAAUGUCAGGAGGCUGAAAAGUCAUCUCAUUGAAGCAUUAGGAGUUAAAGGCUUAUCUGUCAUUGUUGAACCACAGAGCAAAUAAUAUGCUAUGGGGUUGUUCACAUAUUGAAGGAUUAGCCAAAAUCUCCAGAAAGAACCACACUCUACUAUGUUGAGUAUGGAGCAAUUUGCUAGUUCUUUAAUACUCAAAAUGAGAUAUGAAAAUCUCUUUCAACUUGUUUGAUAAACCACUCAAUGUGGGACAUUAAUGAUUGAAGAGAAACAAAAGAUGCCUUUUUUUUUUUUAACAGCGCAUAUGACUAUGAUGCAAUAUUUUGGGGUAGGGGGUGUCUCUCUUAUUUAAAUACUUUAUUCAAAAGAGAUUGUACAUAUCUUACAUUACAGGCACUGUGGCAGGUACUGGUGAUAUAAUGUUGCAAAAGUAAAUAAAUAAAAGAUUUUGUGAUUAUUUGAUAUUUGCUAUGAAGGAAGCAGUGCAAUAAAUGAAUAGCAGCAGACUGUGACCAGGUGUAAGUGAUCACGGAAGGCCUUGAGUUGACAAGCAGUGGGAAUUAACUAGAUGAAGAGAGAGAGCAUUUCAGGGAGGAUGAGCAGCAAGAGCUAAAGCCCAGUGGUAGGAAGAUGUAUGGGACCAAAGAAGAUUAUUGAAGAAACCAGUGUAGGUCAUUGUGACUAAGUGCAGGGAGCAGAGAAGGGGAGAGGGGUAAGAAGUGGCUGGAAGUGGGCAGAUCCUGGGUCACACGGGAUCACCUCAGACAUACCAAGUAUUUGACUAUUAGUUUGAAGAGCUGCAGAAAUCAUUAAAACCUAAACAAGCCAUGAGGACCUCAUUUUGACGAGAUCGCUCAGAUUUCCAUGUUGGAAGGAGGUUUGAAGGGGGAAUAAUGUAAGGAAGAAGAGCAGCUGGAAAGUGAUUAUGGAAAACCAGGGAAAAAGUGAUGGCAGCUUUGACCAGGAUGAUUCAAAGUAUCUGAAAAACAAAGUAAAGGAAAAAUUAAGUCCCUGUGAAAAUGUAACCUUGGAGGCAGAUGGUCCUUCACUCACUAGUACCACAUGGAGGAAAGUUUGACAGACUAGUUCUGGCACAGAGGGAGCCCCAGAGAAUGGGUCCCAGGUUAGAAAAUGGUAGAACACAAAACACUUACCUGGAAGUGUGGUCUAGAAUGUAUUAUAGGUGAACCUUGGCAGAUGAGAGUUAGCUGAGGCUUCCCCAGAUCUUACCUGGUCGUGCUUAUGGGUUGCUAGUUAAAACAAAAGAUACACAGGUCCAGAAAGCCAGCCUUAUCUCUUCUCUAUGUCACUCAGUGUGUACUCUGCCAUGUGUCUUAUAAAUUCAUGAAGAAACCUUUAAAGUCAUAAUUAUAGCGUAUAGAGCUGGAAGGGGUGUGAGAUAUCAUCUAAUGUAGUGGUUCUCAAACUGUGGCCCAGACACUUCUGUUUCUAGGAAGAUGGAAUAGAGGCACUUAUCCCAUUUUCCCGUAUUUCUCCUGAGAAGUAUAACUAAACAACCUGGCCAUUUUCUAUAAAGCAAACAUAAGACGGUACAAUGGAAAAGAAAGGCAGACUGGCUAGGGAUCUCAGGACCCCAAGGAAUGGCACAGUGACAGAUUCCCUGAAUUUUCUUUUAGCUUCAUGUAUAUAUAGACUUACAGAUGAAGAUACUGGCAACCCAGAAACACAAAUAGGCACAGACAAAAAAAUUCUUCUAGAAAAAGUCUGGUCUUGGACCUGGAAAGGGGCAACCUGGCAAGGCAGAUAAAUUUUAGACAAUAAUCCUUCAACUCUGGUCAACCUUUGGUCCCUGGACCAGCAGCAUCAGUAUCCCCCGGGAACUUCUUAAAAAUGCAGAUCCCUGGGCCCCACCCCAGAUGUUACAGAAUGAGAAACUUGGGGGUAGAGCUCAGCAAUCUAUGUUUUGACAAGGCCUCCAGGUGAUUCUGAUGCCUGCCAAAGUUUAAGAACCACUGAUAUGUCUAGCUUUUGCUUUAUAUUUUCUCAGAAUGCCUCUUCUAGUACUAAAAUUUUAGGAGAACAGAGGAAGUUUUAAAAACACAUUUGAAGUAAGUGUUAACAUGUGUUAACAUAUGUAUUAUUAAGUGUUUGGCAUCUAGUAGGUGCUAGAUAAAUAUUGUAGAAUAAUACAGAGAAACUUGUUACUUUUUGAUUCAGCUACAGGGUUAGAGAGAAUGCUGAAAGAAAAAGCAUCUUUUGGAAAACCCCAAAUUGGCAUCUGUAAAUCCUGCCCAGUGAAGAGGGCUGCUGCAGGUAAAGGAAUUGCAUGAUGUUCUUUCACAUUCUGGCCUUUUUUAUUUCGCCCCAACUUCCAUGAGACUUUAUAAAUACCUGACUUUUUAUCAUACCAGAGUUUUGCAACUCUGAAUUAUUACCUCCUCCUGAUGGGGAAGUGAGGGAAGUCAAGAUUGCUGAAGUUCAAACACUAAGCCUGUUCUCCAGAUGAGUUAGAACAAGGGCUUUCAAAAGGAGAGCACUUUGUAAUUGUUCCUCCAUUUGGUCUUAGCCCAAGCUUAUUGAAUGAUUACAUUGUGUGUGUGUGUGUGUGUGUGUGUGUGUGUGUGUGUGUAUCUUUUUGCCUUUUCUAAGGCUUCUCCCACAGCACAUGGAGAUUCCCAGGCUAGGGGUUGAAUCAGAGCUGUAGCCACUGGCCUACACCAUAGCCACAGCAACACAGGAUCCUUAACCCACUGAGCAAGGUCAGGGAUCGAACCUGGAACCUCAUGGUUCCUCGUUGGAUUCAUUAACCACUGAGCCACGAUGGGAACUCCUGAAUGAUUACAUUUUUGUUAUUAAAACUUUGGUUUAGUUUGACCAGAGCAAAACAUAAAUGUCUGCUGCUUAGAAAAUAAAUAUUUUGGUAUUUUCUUAGUAUUUAUUUCAACCGAUGCUUAUAAUUGCCCAGAGACUAAAUGGGGUUUUAACAUUUAUUUUAAAAGUUAUGGCUGCUAGGAUGAGUUGAUGGAGGCCAAGUUUGAACUCAUACUGUGUUUUUACAAGCACUCUUUUAAUAACUCUCUCUGUGCAACCCCUUAUGUGUGAAGAGACCUCAGGGUGACUGUAAUUAUGAUACUGCAAUUAGGCAUUUUGACCUUGCAGAUGUACGGAAGACAUAUAGGAACUAUUCUGGCUGCUCUUGCAAUCUUAUGUUUUAUAUUUUGUAGAGCUAGUUGGAAAUAGCACUAAACUUUUUUUUUUUUUUUUAACGAUUUCUCAAGCCAGUGGAUUCAACAGAUGAAGAGGCAUGAUAACUGGGUAUCUGAAAAGUCUACAUCACCAAGCCAGGAUUUACAAAACCCAGCAGAAGUGGAAAUGGUGCUCUAGGAAGUGCAGGCUCACAGUGAGACACUCUGAGGGGAACAAAUAUACACAGCUGCAGCAUGUGCCUUAUAGGGCUCUUUGAUGCCAUUUGAAAGCUCAUUGUGACAUUCUAUUGAGCUCCUGAGUUCAGAGGAACUGCAUAUAGUUUAGAGCAGUGGUUCUCUAGGUGUGGUGCCUGGACCAGUUGCCAGUGGUCCAGUGGAAGUGUUAUAGAAAUGCAAAUUCUCAGGCUCCACCCCAGACCCACUCAGUCAGAAACUGGGGAGGGAGCCCAGGAGUCUGGGUUUUCAUAAGUCCCCCAGGUGACUCUGAUGGACACUAGAGUUUGAGAAGCACAGGAGUGAUUUAAAAGAGGGCACUUUUUUUUUUUUUUCCAAGGGAAACAGCAUCUCACGGCUGAUGUGGAAAAUCCUUUCAAAAACUAAUUAGGAAACCAGAGUAACUAUGUCAAAGGCAAGAAAGAAGUCUUUCCUGAAGCAGAGAGACAAAGCCAAUGGUUCUCCUGUUGGAUUUUAGAGGAGAGAGAAAAUUCAAGGGAAUUGAGGAGGCAUAGACUUCUUAAAGAAUCAGAAAGUGAAUAGCCACAAGGCCUUUGUAUAAAUAUGAAGUUAGCUCAUUUAGUCACUCUCAUAUAUUCUCUGACUUCAACUUUCUUCAGAUUAUUUGCAGUUAGCAAGGUUUGCACAUCUUGCUAAUGAACUUGACAGAAAAACUAAAUGACAGCUCCACUUCUUUCUUACUUUUCUCAUUGUGGUGUUGAGUGGGGGAUGAUGGUACAGCUUGUGUGUAAACUGUGUCUAUACAUCUGGCCAUAACUGGAGAAGCAUGCCCACCUGAAUGUAGUACAUGCAUAACAUGGGUGCCUCCUAGGACAAACCUCAUCUUGAAGGAAAGACAAUCAUAUAGACAAGGUUGACCCAGUAACCAUCCUGCCCUGGCCACCACGUCAUGCUCUGUGCAUGUGAGUCAGAAGAAGAAUCUCUGGACACAUAGCAAGGUGAAGAGAAAGAAAAGUUUAUUGAUAUGAGACACUUCUAGUGCAGUGGGAUGUCUCCCUGACGAUCAGGGAGAGCCAACCCCGAGUGUGUGUUGGUGUGUUUUUACAGCCCACAGAAAGAGGAGAGGUCUUGUCAUACACCUUUGACCUGCUGAUUGGUUGGGGAAAGACGGGGUCUUCUGAUAUCCUUGCUGGUUGGUUGGGGGCCUAUAUUUCCCCAUAUGGGCAGGGCAAGGAGUGGGUCACAGACCUUUCCUAGUAGGGGAAGGAAGGAGUAGGACAAGUUGCUCAAGGUGGGUGAAGGGGCAUUAGAAUGAGAUGGGUGGGGCAAUGAUAUGGGUGUGGUAAUUCUUGUCUUGGCCAGAGGUUUUGAGUUCUAUCUCCCUGAAGAGGACUUCAAGUCCAACACACCACUCAGAUUAGCCUCCUGACCAGGAGUUCUGUGAAAGAACGUUGGGUUGUCGGUAAAAAUCAGAAGUUGCUUUACAUCAACAGCUUAUAGAUCUUGGGACAUAAAUAACACUGCUUGGGUGCCUGCAGGGAAAAGUACAACUUUUUUGGGAGAGAAAAUCCAUCCUCAUUCUUCUGUGAGGAAUAUGGCUUUUGUUUAAGGGCAUCCAGAACCCCAAAGAACAUGGUUGAUGUUUUCUGCUUCUCAGAAGCAUGAGAAUCAGCUGAGAUCCUCAGGCCCCUGCUGACUCUAGUCUCUGGUUGACCUUUGCAGUAGCUCAGAACCACUAGCAUCAUAAAGAAAAUGUGAUGUAAUGAGUUCCUUGAUGGUCUAGUAUUGAGGAUUCGCUGCUUACACUGCUGUGGACCAGGUUCCUGGUAGGGGAACUGAGAUCCCACAUCAAGCUGCUGCUUGCUUCGGCCAUAAAAACACAAAAAACAGUAUAGUGAGAAGUUUGCAUUUCUCUCCUAUUUCCCUGGCUGUAUUUUCUUGGCAUUUUCAAUUGUGUUUAUGGUGGAUGGGAAGGGUCUGAUUGUCUACCAGACAGAUUUAUUUGUAUCUUUAUUUCCUCUGUUUCACAUUGUA